rnacentral:rRNA from 1 species
AGCGUAGGAGACAAGCGUUAUCCGGAGUUACUGGGCGUAAAGGGCGUGCAGGUGGCUUGAUAAGUUCGGCGUGAAAUUUCCCGGCUUAACCGGGGGAUGUCGUCGGAGACUGUCGAGCUAGAGGGUGAUAGAGGCGUGUGGAAUUCCGGGUGUAGUGGUGAAAUGCGUAGAGAUCCGGAGGAACACCAGUGGCGAAGGCGACACGCUGGGUCAUACCUGACACUAAAACGCGACAGCAUGGGGAGCGAACGGG